rnacentral:rRNA from 1 species
GACAGAGGGUGAAAACGUUGUUCGGAAUUACUGGGCGUAAAGCGCGUGUAGGCGGCUGCGCAAGUCGGAUGUGAAAUCCCAUGGCUCAACCAUGGAAGUGCACCCGAAACUGCGUAGCUAGAGUCUCGGAGAGGAAGGCGGAAUGCUUGGUGUAGAGGUGAAAUUCGUAGAUAUCAAGCGGAACACCGGUGGCGAAGGCGGCCUUCUGGACGAUGACUGACGCUGAGACGCGAAAGCGUGGGGAGCAAACAGG